UACGUAGGGUGCGAGCGUUAAUCGGAAUUACUGGGCGUAAAGCGUGCGCAGGCGGUUGUGCAAGACAGAUGUGAAAUCCCCGGGCUUAACCUGGGAACUGCAUUUGUGACUGCACGGCUAGAGUGUGUCAGAGGGGGGUAGAAUUCCACGUGUAGCAGUGAAAUGCGUAGAUAUGUGGAGGAAUACCGAUGGCGAAGGCAGCCCCCUGGGAUAACACUGACGCCUCAUGCACGAAAGCGUGGGGAGCAACAGG
rnacentral:rRNA from 1 species